UUCAGUCCGCCAUUGCAAACACGAAGCUCUUCCAGAAACGCCCUCACAGACACCCCGGAAGUCACGUACCCACUCUGUAGGUGCCCCGGGGCACAGGCAAGCGGACGAGCCAGUUAUCCCUCAGAGCUCCUGCUGCCUCGCCCGCUUUCUCUCGGAAACGUGAAGUGUGGCCUCAGCUGAAAGUGAGGUGGGCCUCAUUCAAUCAGUUGAAUUCUUCAAGAGAGAAAAACUGAAGUCCCUUAGAAGGAAAGAGUUCUGCCUUCAGACUGUCUUUGAACUUAAGACUGUAGCGUCGACUCCUGCCGGAAUUUCCAGCCUGCUGGCCAGCUCUGCAGAUUCACACUUGCCAGCCUCCACAAUCGCAGCUGAGGCGGAGGAACCCUAAGGGCUCAUUGAGAUCAUGGAUUUGCCCUUCUAUGCAUUGAUGGAGCACCUGCUGCCCACAGCGUCUGUAUUUGGUGCUGGGAUGCUGAGGACACUGAGAUCUUCAAACAGAGGCUGCCACUCUAAGCAAACAGAUCCCGAGCCCUGGACUCUGAAGCUUGGGCCCAGUUCUCCUUUUCUCCGGGUUUCAGAUCCCACUGUGAAGUGAGGGGGCCCUUCUGAUUCAGGACCCGGGGAAGCCAGGGGCAUGAGCAUCGGUGCCUCUUCUCUAUUUCAAGGACCCUUCUGGGUGUAAAGUUCUCUGAGAUGCCUUACAUGGAUUCCCACCACUGCAAGAUAACCAUCGUAUGUAAAGUGUUAUGACCAGCAGAGCGUAAUUGAAGUGCAUUCCAGAGGGAAAGACAGCGGCUCAGAUGAGGCUUCAGGCUUGACCAAAUCUGACUGGCUGGCUGCCGGAGACACUGCUACCCAUCGGCCCUUAAUAAAUGGCCUCAUUUGAUCAUCAUGUGAUCUUCAGAAGCUGGGCUUGAUUAUCCUUGCCAAACAAAAUGCUGAAACCAAAAAUCUGAAAGGUCAAUGGCCUGCCAGCCUGCCUGUGUCUGUCAGUGUGCUGUUCUGCUGGGGCCCUCUCCACAUCCAGCUGCUGUGUCGUCUUCCACUGAUGCGUUCCUCUUGACAUCCAGCCGCAUGUGCAUGUGUGUCCGAUGGGGCCUCGGGGUUUUUAUAGGCAUAGGAUGGGGGUGUGGUGGGCCAGGGUGGUCUUGGGAAAUGCAACAUUUGGGCGGGAAAACAGAAAUGCCUGUCCUCACCUAGGCCCAUGGGCACAGGCCCUGGGAUGAAGCCCUAGCCAGGGACCACACCUUCCUCUACCCAGCACGUCCCUGUCCCCCUUCCAUAUCACUGUGGUAAAAUCCAGUUUUUUUCACCUUAGAUUUUGUACAUUUGAGGUAUGACAUAAAGUGCAUAUUCAGUUCAAGAUAAAAAGUUUUCUCCAAUAGUCUCCUAUUAGCUUUAUUUUUAUGCCUUUUCAUUUGAGUUUUUAAUCAAUCUAGAGAUCAUUUUACUUAGGAUGUAAGGAAGAGUUCCAAUUUUAGUUUUACCCAUCAGGCAAGCCAGUGGUACCCAAAGCCAUGUAUUAAAAAAGUCUAUUCCUGUCUCACUGAUGUGUGUCACUUCUGUCAUAAAACAGAUCCUUAAACACACAUGGGUUUGGUGUUGAGCUUUCUGUUUUGUUCCACUUAUGAAUUUAAUAUUUCUGUACCAAAACUGCACUUUUUUUUAAGUAGUAUUUUGUGGAAUUUUUUCAUAUCUUGUAGGUCAGGUCCCUUUUAUUCUCUUUUUCUGAAAUUGUUUAUUUUUUAAAGAAUUUUAUUUUUUCAUGUAAAUGUCAGAAUAAGAUUGUUGAAGUCUUCAAAAAUCGCUCCUAAAAUUUUUUUUUUUUAAUCAGAAUCUCAUUUAAGUAUGGCUUUUGUGGAGAACUGCCAUUUCUUCAAAUGUUAAACUAGUCCAUUAUGGGAUAUGGUAUAUUUUCUCUUUAUUCUAAUCUUUCUUUAUAUCCUUUAAUGAAUUUUAAAACUUUCUCUAUAAAGAAUCAUGAAUUCUUUGUUAGAUUUAUUCUUAGAUAUAUUUAAGUUUUUCUUGUUAUUGUAAAUGUUAUAUUGUUUUAUUAUUAUAUGUUUUAGUUAGAAAUUACCAGUGUGAGGAAACAUCAUGGUAUGGUUGAAAUCACACCUCUUAAUUUUUGUAGAACUCUUAAUUCCAAUAUUGCGUGCAUUGAUUCUGAUGCAUUUUCUAUUUAGGUGAUCAUGCCAUCUGCAAAUAAGGAUAGCCUUGACUUGUCUUAAUAUAUUCUUCUACCUCUUGUUGAUCUUUCUCUUGAUGAGUCCAUUGGACAGCUUUACCAGUAGCAAUAAGAUUGCGUUUUUCUUGUUUCCAGUCUUAAAGGAGCCAUGCCUCAAGUCCAUCCUCUGAAUAUGGUAUUCGUCAAAGACAAGCAUAGUUAUUUAUCAGAUAAAGAACAUUCUCCUUUAGUUACAGUAUUCUGGGAAUACUGUAUGUAAUAAUAAUAAUGUAAAUAAUUUUAUUUAAAAACAAGUUGGAUAUUUACAAGUGCAUUUUUUUUUGCUUCUACUGACCUAGUCAAUAUUUUUUCUUUCUUCAUCUUAGUAUCUUAAAGUGGUGAAUUAAAUUCAUAGGCUUUCUGAUGUUAAAACUUUUUUUCAUUCCUUUGAUGAACUCUAUUUAUAAUGAUAUUAUUAUUAUUUUCAGACAACAUUAAAGUCAAUUAGCAAAUAUGUAAGUAAGACUUCAUAAGUGAAAAGAGCCUAUACUUUGCAUUUUGAAGUUUUUUUUUUUUUUUUUUUUUUUAAACCAGCUUUGGAAUCAAGCAAACAAUUUUAUAAUUAACAGAAGGUCUCUGUCUCUGUCUGUCUCUCUCUCUUUCUCUCUCAUUGUUUGGAACAACUUGUGAUUUGUGUAAGACAUAGAUUCUUUCUUGUUUAAAAGUUUGAUGUAACUUUUUUGUGGAAUGUUCUUGGCCUGAUUUUUUAUUGCCUUUUUUUUUCCCUCUUGGGGGAGGCUUUAAUUACCAUUAUGAAUUUUAAAUGAAAAUCUAUUUAUCCUUGCUCCAAUUUGGAAUAUCAUACUUUUCCAACAGUGUGUCCAUGUUGCCUUGUGUUUUCAAAUUGAUGUCUUUAUAAAAAAGAUUUUACAUUGUUUUUGCAGUUAUUUCCUCUUUUGGAUUCUGUUUUGUAAAUUUGCAUCUUCCCCUUAUUGUAUUGACUAGAUUUGCCAGAGCUUUUUGUAUAUUGUAUUAAUAUUUUAAAGAAAUUGCUUUUGGUUUUGUUAAUCUUCCCUAUUUCAUUGAUUUAUGUUCUUAUCUAUUUUAUUUUCUUCUUGUUUGUCCCUUUUGGGUUGCUUCUGUUUCUUGUUUGUUUUCUGCUUGGAUUGAAUACUUAGCUCAUUUUUUCUUACUUUCUGAUAAAUACAUUUAAACAUAUGGAGCUAUCACUACAGUGUGGCUCCAUUAUUUUGUAAUUCUCUUAUGUUUUACUUUGUAUCUUAAAGUCCUUUUAGCAGAAUGACAUUUUAGUUUUUGAACAUAUGGUAUAUUAUUUAUUUUUAAUCAUUUUUGUUACUGGUUUCUAAUUUCACUGCUUUGUGCUCAGGGAACAUACUAAGCUGGGUGGAUUGUUUGGGCUCAUUGUAGCUUCCAACCUCGUCCAUCAUCCGUGGUUGUGAAAGCUUCGCUCCACACACACAUAUAUUUUGCUCUGGGAUUUUUAUUAAUCUUGUCAAUCAAAUUUUGUAUGCAUUUAUGCUUUUUUGUUUUGAUUUUUUUUUUUGUCCCUCUAAUCUACCAGUCUCUAAUAGGGCUUUGUGAAAAUCUUGGGCAAUAAAUUUUGUUGUCUCUAUGUUCUCUUGUAAUGCUGUCAGUUGUUAUUUUAUAUAUUGUGAUGAGCUAUUUUAAAGGGCUUAUUUAUUCAUAACUACUAUCUUCUUGAUCUAGCACACUGUUUUGGCAGUAUAUAACAUCGCUUUUUGGCAUCAUAAUGUUUUUCAUCUUAAAACCCAUUUAGCCCAAUACUAAAAAGUCUUACCUUGUAUUUGAAAAAAAUUCUUAUUGAAACAACCUUUGGAAACUACACACAUACUUUCCUUUUAAUUAUUUCAUGUAUUAAUUUAUGUAAGUUUUCAUAUCCAUUUUUACUUCUCAUUAUGAAUCAAUAAAUUGGUUUUCUGAAUUUAACUCUUGGACUAGAGAUUCUGCUCUUUGUGUGCCGAGAAUUAGUUUGCAGAGACCCAGGUCUGCAGCCAUCAUGAGGACUCAACUUCGCCACACCUCACGGAAGAGCCCCCUGUCUUCUCCCCAGUGCUGUGUGAUGCAGAUUCCUUUUACAGCCUGCCUGCCUGCCUCCCUCCCUCCCUCUCUCUUUCC
rnacentral:lncRNA from 1 species